rnacentral:lncRNA from 1 species
AAAAACCACGAGUUUUCUCUUCACAAAUCCGCCAUUUAAGCAAAAAUCACGCGUUUUCUCUUCAGGAAUCUUCCAUUUAACCCGAAAAUCACGUGUUUUCUCUUUGCAAAUCCCCCAUUUAACUUGAAAAUCAUGCAUUUUCAAUUUGCAAAUCCCCCAUUUAUGCGAAAGUCACGCGUUUUCUCUUCGCAAAUCCCCCAUUUAUGUGGAAAACACGUGUUUUCUCUUCGAAAAUCCCCCAUUUAACCCGAUAAUCGCACAUUUUCAAUUUGCAAGUCCCCCAUUUAAGCGAAAAACACGCGUUUUCUCUUUGCAAAUCCCCCAUUUAACCAGAAAAUCACGCGUUUUCUUUUCGGAAAUCCCCCAUUUAAGCGAAAAUCACGCUGUUUUCUCUCCGAGAAUCCCACACUUAAGCGAAAAUCACGCGUUUUCACUUCGAGAAUCCAACAUUUAAGUGAAAAUCAUGUGUUUUCUCAAAUCCCACAUUUAAGCGAAAAUCACGCGUUUUCUCUUCGCAAAUCCCCCAUUUAUCGAAAAAACACGCGUUUUCUCUUCGCAAAUCCCCCAUUUAACCAGAAAAUCACGCGUUUUCUUUUCGGAAAUCCCCCAUUUAAGCGAAAAUCACGUGUUUUCUCUCCGAGAAUCCAACACUUAAGCGAAAAUCACGCGUUUUCUCAAAUCCCACAUUUAAGCGAAAGUCACGCGUUUUCUCUUCGCAAAUCCCCCAUUUAACCAGAAAACCAAGCAUUUUCUCUUCGCAAAUCCCCCAUUUUACCAGAAAAACACGCGUUUUCUCUUCGAAAAUCCCCCAUUUAACCCGAAAAUCACGCGUUUUCCCUUCGCAAAUCCCCCAAUUAACACAAAAAAACACGAGUUUUCUCUUCAGAAAUCCCCCAUUUAAGCGAAAAUCACACGUUUUCCCUUCGCAAAACCCCCAUUUAAGUGAAAAUCUCACGUUUUCUCUUUGAGAAUCGUCAUUUUAAGUGAAAAUCAAGCGUUUUCUCUUUGAGAAUCCCCCAUUUAUGCGAAAAUCACAAAUUUUCUCUUCUCAAAUACACCAUUUAAGCAAAAAUCACACGUUUUCUCUUUGCAAAUCCCCCAUUUAACUUGAAAAUCACGCGUUUUCUCUU